UAGGGAAUCUUCCGCAAUGGACGAAAGUCUGACGGAGCAACGCCGCGUGAGUGAAGAAGGAUUUCGGUUCGUAAAACUCUGUUGUUAGGGAAGAAAAAAUGUAUAGUAACUAUAUACAAAAGAGACGGUACCUAACCAGAAAGCCACGGCUAACUACGUGCCAGCAGCCGCGGUAAUACAUAGGUCGCAAGCGUUAUCCGGAAUUAUUGGGCGUAAAGCGUUCGUAGGCUGUUUGUUAAGUCUGGAGUUAAAUCCCGGGGCUCAACCCCGGCUCGCUUUGGAUACUAGCAAACUAGAGUUAGAUAGAGGUAAGCGGAAUUCCAUGUGAAGCGGUGAAAUGCGUAGAUAUAUGGAAGAACACCAAAGGCGAAGGCAGCUUACUGGGUCUAUACUGACGCUGAGGGACGAAAGCGUGGGGAGCAAACAGG
rnacentral:rRNA from 1 species